GCCAGGGUGGCAUAGUGGUUUGAACACUGGACUAUGACUCUGGAGACGUGGGUUCAAAUCCCGUCUGGGCCA